CGGACGGGUGAGUAAUGCUUGGGAAUCUGGCUUAUGGAGGGGGAUAACUACGGGAAACUGUAGCUAAUACCGCGUAGUAUCGGAAGAUGAAAGUGUGGGACCGCAAGGCCACAUGCCAUAAGAUGAGCCCAAGUGGGAUUAGGUAGUUGGUUAGGUAAAGGCUGACCAAGCCGACGAUCUCUAGCUGGUCUGAGAGGAUGACCAGCCACACUGGAACUGAGACACGGUCCAGACUCCUACGGGAGGCAGCAGUGGGGAAUAUUGCACAAUGGGGGGAACCCUGAUGCAGCCAUGCCGCGUGAAUGAAGAAGGCCUUCGGGUUGUAAAGUUCUUUCGGUGAUGAGGAAGGCAGGUAAGUUAAUAGCUUGCUUGAUUGACGUUAGUCACAGAAGAAGCACCGGCUAACUCCGUGCCAGCAGCCGCGGUAAUACGGAGGGUGCGAGCGUUAAUCGGAAUAACUGGGCGUAAAGGGCACGCAGGCGGUGACUUAAGUGGGAUGUGAAAGCCCCGAGCUUAACUUGGGAAUUGCAUUUCAUACUGGGUCGCUAGAGUACUUUAGGGAGGGGUAGAAUUCCACGUGUAGCGGUGAAAUGCGUAGAGAUGUGGAGGAAUACCGAAGGCGAAGGCAGCCCCUUGGGAAUGUACUGACGCUCAUGUGCGAAAGCGUGGGGAGCAAACAGGAUUAGAUACCCUGGUAGUCCACGCUGUAAACGCUGUCGAUUUGGGGAUUGGGCUUAGAGCUUGGUGCCCGUAGCUAACGUGAUAAAUCGA
rnacentral:rRNA from 1 species